rnacentral:rRNA from 1 species
GAUGAACGCUGGCGGCGUGCCUAAUACAUGCAAGUCGAGCGAACGGACGAGAAGCUUGCUUCUCUGAUGUUAGCGGCGGACGGGUGAGUAACACGUGGAUAGCCUACCUAUAAGACUGGGAUAACUUCGGGAAACCGGAGCUAAUACCGGAUGAUAUUUUGAACCGCAUGGUUCAAAAGUGAAAGACGGUCUUGCUGUCACUUAUAGAUGGAUCCGCGCUGCAUUAGCUAGUUGGUAAGGUAACGGCUUACCAAGGCAACGAUGCAUAGCCGACCUGAGAGGGUGAUCGGCCACUGGAACUGAGACACGGUCCAGACUCCUACGGGAGGCAGCAGUAGGGAAUCUUCCGCAAUGGGCGAAAGCCUGACGGAGCAACGCCGCGUGAGUGAUGAAGGUCUUCGGAUCGUAAAACUCUGUUAUUAGGGAAGAACAUAUGUGUAAGUAACUGUGCACAUCUUGACGGUACCUAAUCAGAAAGCCACGGCUAACUACGUG